GACGAACGCUGGCGGCGUGCUUAACACAUGCAAGUCGAACGGAAAGGCCCUGCUUUUGUGGGGUGCUCGAGUGGCGAACGGGUGAGUAACACGUGAGUAACCUGCCCUUGACUUUGGGAUAACUUCAGGAAACUGGGGCUAAUACCGGAUAGGAGCUCCUGCUGCAUGGUGGGGGUUGGAAAGUUUCGGCGGUUGGGGAUGGACUCGCGGCUUAUCAGCUUGUUGGUGGGGUAGUGGCUUACCAAGGCUUUGACGGGUAGCCGGCCUGAGAGGGUGACCGGCCACAUUGGGACUUAGAUACGGCCCAGACGCCUACGGGGGGCAGCAGGCGUGAAUAUUGCACAAUGGGCGGAAGCCUGAUGCAGCGACGCCGCGUGCGGGAAGACGGCCUUCGGGUUGUAAACCGCUUUCGCCUGUGACGAAGCGUGAGUGACGGUAAUUGGUAAAGAAGCACCGGCUAACUACGUG
rnacentral:rRNA from 1 species